UAAAGUGGCGCACGGGUGAGUAACACGUGACUAACCUACCCUUGAGUGGGGGAUAACCUCGGGAAACCGGGGCUAAUACCGCAUAAUGUCGAGAGAUCAAAGGAGCAAUUCGCUUAAGGAGGGGGUCGCGGCUGAUUAGCUAGUUGGUGAGGUAAUGGUUCACCAAGGCUAUGAUCAGUAUCCGGCCUGAGAGGGCGCACGGACACACUGGAACUGAAACACGGUCCAG
rnacentral:rRNA from 1 species